rnacentral:rRNA from 1 species
CGCGGCCUAUCAGCUUGUUGGUGGGGUAGUGGCCUACCAAGGCGACGACGGGUAGCCGGCCUGAGAGGGUGACCGGCCACACUGGGACUGAGACACGGCCCAGACUCCUACGGGAGGCAGCAGUGGGGAAUAUUGCGCAAUGGGCGAAAGCCUGACGCAGCGACGCCGCGUGGGGGAUGACGGCCUUCGGGUUGUAAACCUCUUUCAGCAGGGACGAAGCGAAAGUGACGGUACCUGCAGAAGAAGCACCGGCCAACUACGUGCCAGCAGCCGCGGUAAUACGUAGGGUGCAAGCGUUGUCCGGAAUUAUUGGGCGUAAAGAGCUCGUAGGCGGUUUGUUGCGUCGGCUGUGAAAUCCCGAGGCUCAACCUCGGGUCUGCAGUCGAUACGAGCAAACUAGAGUGUUGCAGGGGAGACUGGAAUUCCUGGUGUAGCGGUGAAAUGCGCAGAUAUCAGGAGGAACACCGGUGGCGAAGGCGGGUCUCUGGGCAACAACUGACGCUGAGGAGCGAAAGCGUGGGGAGCGAACAGGAUUAGAUACCCUGGUAGUCCACGCCGUAAACGUUGGGCGCUAGGUGUGGGGCUCAUUCCACGAGUUCCGUGCCGCAGCUAACGCAUUAAGCGCCCCGCCUGGGGAGUACGG